AUUGAACGCUGGUGAUAGGCCUAACACAUGCAAUUCGAGUGUGCGGCGGACGGUUGAGUAAUGUAUGGGGCCUUCCCGAUUGAGGGGGAUAACUACUGUAAACGGUGGCUAAUACCGCAUACCGUCGGAUUACCCAUAUUGGAUUAGCUAGUAGUUAAGGUAAUGGCUUACCUAGGCGACGAUCCCUAGCUGGUCUGAGAGGAUGAUCAACCACACUGGGACUGAGACACGGCCCAGACUCCUACGGAGGCAGCAGUGGGGAAUAUUGCACAAUGGGCGCAAGCCUGAUGCAGCCAUGCCGCGUGUAUGAAGAAGGCCCUAGGGUUGUAAAGUACUUUCAGUCGGGAGGCGUUACCGUAAGAAGAAGCACCGGCUAACUCCGUGCCAGCAGCCGCGGUAAUAC
rnacentral:rRNA from 1 species